CGCGACGCCAUAGCUAGGGUUUGGCCAAGCUUCUUGUCCGAGAGAGAAAGUAGAUAUUCCUGCUCUCAGGGUUUGAUCGAUCUUCGUCGGUGCCUUCCAUGCGCUCCUAGGUAGGGUUUUGAGGCGCUGCGAAGAAAUCCCGGCAUGGAGGUAGCGCCGUCGCCGCGGCAUCCGCCCAAGCGCGGCUCGAAAUUGUCGUCCGCCAAGCGCCGCGCGGAGACGGUGGAUACGGAGGGAAUGUGGUGCUGCAUUGUCCGGCGGCCGGCAGCGGCGAUGGUGCGCGCGAGCGGAGAGGAGGAGUGGCGCCGGCGGGGCUCAUCCGUGGCGGCGGCGCGGCACGACGAGGAGAAUGCCACCACCGGCGGCAAUGCGGGCUCGGCCAAGAACUCCAAGGAAUUCGUGCUCAGGCCCAAGGAGCUGGAGGCGCUCAUUAAGCAAGGCACGGGGAUCGUGGUGGAGCGCACCAGCAAGGGCUCGCCCUUCCGGCUUCGUCUCUCGCCAGGAAGAGUGUCGCCCAUCUCCGAGACUGCCAUCGUCCCCGUGACGGCUUCUUCUUCCCCGGCUCUUGGCAAGUGCUCCAGCGGGAAGAUGCUCAUGCCCGUCUCUCCGCCCGUGGACAAGGCGAGAGCGUCGCCAACACUCAUGGAGAUGAUGGCGCUCGAGCAAGACAUCCACAGUUCCAAGCAGUCCGUGAUGCUCUCCUUGCCCAGGCCGCCGUCCGUCCAGGAGAAAGUGGACGCGAUUCUCCUCCUCCGGAGCCCUGGCAACCAGUUCAACGAUCCAUCCUCGAGCGAUGUCAAGCUCACCAUCACGGGCAGGGAUGGUUUCAGCAUCUCGAUCAAUGUCCACAGGCACAUCCUCACUGCCCAGAGCCGCUUCUUCGCGGCAAAGUUCUCGGAUUGGUGGUCCAAGCAGCACAGGAUGCCGCUCAAUGCCGUGGAGAUCUCCGACUGCGAGGACGUGGACUUGUAUCUCCAGACCAUCCGGCUCAUGUACUGCCGGGAUUUGAGGCGGAGCUUGAUCAAGGAGAGUGUCACCCGAGUUCUUGGGAUUCUAAAGGUGUCUGCGGCAAUUCUCUUCGAAGCUGGCGUGGUUUCGUGCCUCGAGUACCUGGAAGCCAUGCCGUGGCCAGAGGACGAGGAAGAGAGAGUAACAUCGCUCGUCUCUCAGCUCCAACUGGACAGUGUCGCGUCAAUGGAGGUACUCAAGAGGCUGAGCAGCAUAGAAAUGGUGGAGACGGAAAGCAUCGUUGCCAGGCUCUUGCAGUCAGUGAUUCAGGGAACCGACGAGAAGGCCCGGCGUGAGACAAAGUCUCUCGUCUCCAGGAUGCUUCGCGAGAAUCCUUCCAUAGCCAAGGACUCGUGGGACUCUUGCCGGGGUUGCAUAUAUCGGGCUUGCGAGAGCUGCCUCGAGGCUCUAAGUCGGCUCUUCACACAGGUGAUCGAGAGCUCCAAUGCGGCCGGCUAUGAAAAGGAAGGAACACUCGGCGCACAGAUAUCUCGUCAGGCUGAUAAUCUCAACUGGAUGGUGGAUAUCUUGAUCGAUCGGGAGAUAGCAGAUACUUUUGUCAAGAUCUGGGCUUCUCAAGCGGAGCUCGCCAGCUUAUACUCUCGGAUUCCAAGCGUCUACAGAUACGACGUGAGCCGGAUCACUGCUCGGUUGUGCAUGGCCAUCGGCAAAGGCCAAGUUUUGGUGCCACAGGACGUGAGGUUUUUGCUGCUCCAGACGUGGUUCCAGCCGCUGGUGGAUGACUUUGGAUGGCUGCAAAGGUGUUGCAAGAGCUUGGACAAGAAGUCCGUAGAGGAGGGGAUAAGCCAAACGAUCCUUACGCUCCCGCUCAAGCAGCAGCAGUUCAUCCUCCUCGGCUGGUUCGACUGUUUCUCGAGGAGCGCUGGUGACUGUCCGAACCUCAACAGAGCUUUCGAGGUGUGGUGGAGGAGGACUUUCGUGCGGCCAUUGCUGGAGACGAGCUGCGUUCACCAGCUUACGAACUAGCGAGCACUAAGGAUGGGGACGAGGACGUAUCAAUUCGAGCUGCCAAAACGGGCAUGCUGGAAAGAGUACCCGACGGAAAGGCCUUGGCGCUCACGGGUUUUCCUGUAGAGAGUUCCAGAUUCUGCCGGAGCACCGUGGCUGGCUGGGCAGGAUUCUUCGCUGCGGCAGAAGCAGCAGCCUGGUGUGGAGGUGAAAAAAAGAGAAACCAUUACCUCAACAGGUAGUGUUGCAGGACCUUGACAAAAAUCUCUCCAGUAGCUUGCAAGGCUUUUCAGUCUGGCUUGAUCUUGGAGUGUGGUUUGCUGCUUCUGUUUUUCUAUUUUCCCGUUAUUAUGAUUCUUGGAGCUUUGUUGUUUGCUUGGCAUUGGCAAUGGCAUGUGUAGCAACAGUGAUACUUUUAUCUCGUAAAUCCCGCAGGCCUGCCUUGCUCGUUUGGUUGGCUCGCUGUUUUGGUUUUGCAGGGACGGCCUUCGUUUCCACAGAAGUUAGCAGAUCAAACAGGCGAUUACAGCAGCAGCACAAGAGGUGCGUUGUCACGGGCGAGCUGUGCGGUGCUGCAGUGCUUUUUGUGUCGAUCGAGAGCAAAAGAAAAGCACGGAAAAAAAAAAAGUGGAGGAGGUGGUGAUGACCACUGUCCUGGCAGCGCAGUCGCGGUGUAAGAGAUAGCAAUGUGGGAGAACGAAGACUGUUAGGUGCUGCCUAUAGUGACUGAGGGUCCAGGAAUUAUAACUCGUUUGACAACGAGGAAGCGAGAACUUUGCUACCAGUGUGAGAAUUACUCUUGCGCAGUAUCUGUAAAUCGUGGGCCACUUUUUUGCGCAGAGGCAACUUCUAUGGACAUUGAAUAGAAGUGAUGUAAACUUC